rnacentral:lncRNA from 1 species
AAACAUUAUGACGAUACAUGGUACUGAUCAUUAAAAUACUAGUAAUAAAACAUUGUAACCAAAUGGUGCUAUUAUAGCAUAUAAAAUAAGCAGAAUAUCAUAUCUAUAUCAACUUACACGCGAAAACAUAUAUUUGUAACUGGACAAAUAAUUCCAAAAAAAAAAAAAAGAUUCAGAUAAACAAUAUAGAAAAUACUAACUCUAGGAUAUGUAAUGGCUCAACUAAACUCAUGCAUUCAACUUAAUAAUUCAAGUAUCAGUUUAAUCCAAUCUUGAUAAAAACAUCACACAAUUAUUCAUACAGUCUCUCUCGAGUAGUU